rnacentral:rRNA from 1 species
AGUGAACGCUGGCGGUAGGCCUAACACAUGCAAGUCGAACGGCGGCACAGUAAGUUCUUGCUCUUGCUGGUGUCGAGUGGCGGACGGGUCGGGUAUACAUCGUACUCUGCUGUUGCGGGUGGGUUAACGAAGGGAUACUUACUCUAAUAUCGCAUACGACCUACGGUUGAAAUCAGGUGAUCUUCGGACUUGCCUCGAUUGCAUAAGCCGAUGUCUGAUUAUCUAGUUGUCGGGGUAAAGGCCCACAAAGGCGCCGCUCCGUAUCUGGUCUGAGAGGAUGAUCAGCAAAACUGGACCUGAGAAACGGUCCAGACUCCUAGGGGAGGAAGAAGAGGGGAAUAUUGGAAAAUGGGCGAAAGCCUGCUCCAGCAAUACCGGGUAGGUGAAGAAGGCCUUCGGGUUGUAAAGCCCUUUUGUUGGGAAAGAAAAGCAGCAGGUUAAUAACUCGAUGUUCUGACGGUACCUAAAGAAUAAGCACCGGCUAACUUCGUG